rnacentral:rRNA from 1 species
CCUACGGGAGGCAGCAGUAAGGAAUAUUGGACAAUGGCCGCAAGGCUGAUCCAGCCAUGCCGCGUGCAGGAUGAAGGUGCUCUGCAUUGUAAACUGCUUUUGUUCGGGAAUAAACCCUUUCACGUGUGAGAGGUUGAAUGUACCGAAAGAAUAAGGGACGGCUAACUUCGUGCCAGCAGCCGCGUUAAUACGAAGGUCCCAAGCGUUAUCCGGAUUUAUUGGGUUUAAAGGGUGCGUAGGCGGGUUAUUAAGUCAGUGGUGAAAGCUCCCAGCUCAACUGGGAAACUGCCAUUGAUACUGAUAGUCUUGAGUAUGAUUGAAGUGGGGCGGAAUGUGUCAUGUAGCGGUGAAAUGCUUAGAUAUGACACAGAACACCGAUUGCGAAGGCAGCUCACUAAGCCAUAACUGACGCUGAUGCACGAAAGCGUGGGGAGCAAACAGGAUUAGAUACCCUGGUAGUCCACGCCCUAAACGAUGAUCACUCGAUGUGUGCGAUAACUGUACGCGUCCAAGCGAAAGCAUUAAGUGAUCCACCUGGGGAGUACGACCGCAAGGUUGAAACUCAAAGGAAUUGACGG